UGGCGGCGUGCCUAAUACAUUGCAAGUCGAGCGAAGUUUUUCUGGUGCUUGCACUAGAAAAACUUUAUCGGCGAACGGGUGAGUAACACGUAAAGAACCUGCCUCAUAGACUGGGACAACUAUUGGAAACGAUAGCUAAUACCGGAUAACAUCAUUAACUGCAUGGUUGAUGUUUGGAAGUUUGGUUUUGCUAACACUAUGAGAUGGCUUUGCGGUGCAUUAGCUAGUUGGUGGGGUAAGGGCCUACCAAGGCGACGAUGCAUAGCCGACCUGAGAGGGUGAUCGGCCACACUGGGACUGAGACACGGCCCAGACUCCUACGGGAGGCAGCAGUAGGGAAUCUUCCGCAAUGGGCGAAAGCCUGACGGAGCAACGCCGCGUGAGUGAAGAAGGAUUUCGGUUCGUAAAGCUCUGUUGUUAGGGAAGAAUGAUUAUGUAGUAACUAUACAUAGUAGAGACGGUACCUAACCAGAAAGCCACGGCUAACUACGUGCCAGCAGCCGCGGUAAUACGUAGGUGGCAAGCGUUGUCCGGAAUUAUUGGGCGUAAGCGCGCGCAGGUGGGUUUAAUAAGUCUGAUGUGAAAGCCCACGGCUCACCGUGGAGGGUCAUUGGAAACUGUUAAACUUGAGUGCAGGAGAGAAGAGUGGAAUUCCUAGUGUAGCGGUGAAAUGCGUAGAGAUUAGGAGGAACACCAGUGGCGAAGGCGGCUUUUUGGCCUGUAACUGACACUGAGGCGCGAAAGGCGUGGGGAGCAAAACAGGAUUAGAUACCCUGGUAGUCCACGCCGUAAACGAUGAGUGCUAAGUGUUGGUCUCAUAAGAGAAUCAGUGCUGCAGCUAACGCAUUAAGCAUUCCGCCUGGGGAGUACGACCGCAAGGUUGAAAACUCAAAAGGAAAUUGACGGGGACCCGCACAAGCGGUGGAGCAUGUGGUUUAAAUUCGAAGCAAACGCGAAGAACCUUACCAAGUUCUUGACAUACUGUGAGGACACAAGAGAUUGUGUUGUUCUGACCUUUGGUUAGACACAGAUACAGGUGGUGCAUGGUUGUCGUCAGCUCGUGUCGUGAGAUGUUGGGUUAAAGUCCCGCAACGAGCGCAACCCUUAUAUCUAGUUGCCAGCAGUAAGAUGGGGACUCUAGAUAGACUGCCAGUGAUAAAACUGGAGGAAGGUGGGGAUGACGUCGAAUCAUCAUGCCCCUUAUGACUUGGGCUACACACGUGCUACGAAUGGAUAGGAAACGAAGAGAAGGCGAGCUCGCGAGAGUAGGCAACCUCGCGAAACUGAUUUCUCGGUUUCGGAUUGUGAGUUCUGCGAACUCGGACUACGUGAAGGCUGGAUUCGCUAGUGAUUCGGCGAAUUCAGAAAUGUCGCGGUGAAUUCGUUUCCCGGGUCUUGUUCGCACCGCCCGUC
rnacentral:rRNA from 1 species